GCGCCGAUAGUUCAAUGGCCAGAAUUCCGCCCUUCCAAGGCGAGGAUCUGGGUUCGAAUCCCAGUCGGCGCA
rnacentral:tRNA from 1 species